GACGAACGCUGGCGGCGUGCUUAACACAUGCAAGUCGAACGCUGAAGCUCAGCUUUUGUUGGGUGGAUGAGUGGCGAACGGGUGAGUAACACGUGAGUAACCUGCCUCCUUCUUUGGGAUAACGCCCGGAAACGGGUGCUAAUACUGGAUAUUCACUGGUCUUCGCAUGGGGGUUGGUGGAAAGGGUUUUUCUGGUGGGGGAUGGGCUCGCGGCCUAUCAGCUUGUUGGUGGGGUGAUGGCCUACCAAGGCUUUGACGGGUAGCCGGCCUGAGAGGGUGACCGGGCACAUUGGGACUGGGAUACGGCCCAGACUCCUACGGGAGGCAGCAGUGGGGAAUAUUGCACAAUGGGCGCAAGCCUGAUGCAGCGACGCCGCGUGAGGGAUGGAGGCCUUCGGGUUGUGAACCUCUUUCGCUCAUGGUCAAGCCGCAACAAUGGUUGUGGUGAGGGUAGUGGGUAAAGAAGCGCCGGCUAACUACGUG
rnacentral:rRNA from 1 species